CCCAGAGCCGCAGGKUGCAGACCCCUGGCAUAAGCUAACCAUGAUGACAYAAUCAUCCUGYGACAAACGUCAGUGCUAAACGCUGCUAACCACGGCUGCAGCUGCUGAAGAUAAAAUGUAAAGUUUUAACUAUUAUACACUCAGAAGAUCUGUCUGGAGAAUCAGUCUCCUCCCCCCGUUUGGUCUUCACUCCUCCGUUCCCUCUCUGUCCUGAUGUUGGGCUGCCAGAUAAGUUUCUGCUUGCAGGGAGACCACAUCUGACACCCAGCUGUGUGGGUCAUGGGCUACAAGAGCAGCUGCUGGUCAUAAAUCACCCGAGCUGGAGGAGCUCUGGCACUCCCUCUGUCAGCCGUGAAACAAAGACAUAGAGGUAGCAGGGGGGGUCAGAGGUAUCUAACGUGGAUAACAGCGAGACAAGCAGCACCACCUUUUUUUUUUUUAGCGCCACACCGAACGCUCCUGCAUCAGGAAACUGUAAAGAGYGGCUAAAAGUCAAGGCUGGAGCAUGUGCAAAACAUGGCAGUGGAGGAUUGAAAUGCAAAGUCAAGAAGUGUGCUGUAAUAUGGUAUGCAAGCAAUUAUGGUUUAACAAUCAAUGCAGCCAGGGAGCUGCGAGGUCAAAGCGCAGACAACCCCUUGCUGAGAAUCUGUAGCAGAAAAAAAAAAGCUAAAUAAUUCUGUCAACAGAAAGGGAGAGGCUUUGAUGUGCAUAAAAAAGUUUUUUUUGUUCUGAUGAAUGCUGCAUUUUUUUGUUGUCCAAACAAUAAAAUGGAUUUUACACAUGCAA